AGAUGCUUUCAGGUGGGCUAAGAAUGCUAGUCGUGCGCUUCCUAGUCUGGUGGAGGCGCGGCGCACAGCUCAGUAGCACGUGGCUAACCUACCCUUAGGACGGAAACAUCCCCGGGAAACUGGGGCUAAUGUCCGAUAGGUGAAGAACCCUGGAACGGGUCUUUGCUCAAAGGGCGUUUAGGGCAUGCUUCUAGGCGUUGCCUAAGGAUGGGGCCGCGGCCGAUCAGGUUGUUGGUGAGGUAACGGCUCACCAAGCCUUUAACCGGUGCGGGCCGUGGGAGCGGGAGCCCGGAGAUGGGCACUGAGACAAGGGCCCAGGCCCUACGGGGCGCAGCAGUCGCGAAAACUUCGCAAUAAGCGAAAGCUUGACGGGGCUAUCCCGAGUGCCAUCCGCUGAGGAUGGCUUUUCUCUAGUGUAGAUAGCUGGGGGAAUAAGGAGAGGGCAAGUCUGGUGUCAGCCGCCGCGGUAAUACCAGCUCUCCGAGUGGUGUGGAUGAUUACUGGGCCUAAAGCAUCCGUAGCCGGCUGGACAAGUCCCCUGUUAAAUCCAGCGAUCCAAUCGUUGGCGUGCAGGGGAUACUGUUCGGCUAGGGGGCGAGAGAGGCCGUCGGUAUUUUCGGGGUAGGGGUGAAAUCCUAUAAUCCCGAGAAGACCACCAGUGGCGAAGGCUGUCGGCUAGAACGCGCUCGACGGUGAGGGAUGAAAGCUGGGGGAGCGAACCGGAUUAGAUACCCGGGUAGUCCCAGCUGUAAACGAUGCAGGCUAGGUGUUAGGGCGGCCACGUGCCGCUCUGGUGCCGCAGGGAAGCUGUUAAGCCUGCCGCCUGGGGAGUACGGUCGCAAGGCUGAAACUUAAAG
rnacentral:rRNA from 1 species